rnacentral:rRNA from 1 species
CAGAGGGGGCAAGCGUUGUUCGGAAUUACUGGGCGUAAAGGGCGCGUAGGCGGCCUGCUAAGUCGAACGUGAAAUCCCUGGGCUCAACCCAGGAACUGCGUCCGAUACUGGUUGGCUUGAAUCCGGGAGAGGGACGUGGAAUUCCAGGUGUAGCGGUGAAAUGCGUAGAUAUCUGGAGGAACACCGGUGGCGAAGGCGACGUCCUGGACCGGCAUUGACGCUGAGGCGCGAAAGCCAGGGGAGCAAACGGGAUUAGAUACCCCGGUAGUCCUGGCCCUAAACGAUGAAUGCUUGGUGUGGUGGGUAUCGAUCCCUACCGUGCCGGAGCUAACGCAUUAAGCAUUCCGCCUGGGGAGUACGGUCGCAAGGCUG